AUUGAACGCUGGCGGCAGGCCUAACACAUGCAAGUCGAGCGGAUGAAGGGAGCUUGCUCCUGGAUUCAGCGGCGGACGGGUGAGUAAUGCCUAGGAAUCUGCCUGGUCGUGGGGGAUAACGUCCGGAAACGGGCGCUAAUACCGCAUACGUCCUGAGGGAGAAAGUGGGGGAUCUUCGGACCUCACGCUAUUAGCUGAGCCUAGGUCGGAUUAGCUAGUUGGUGGGGUAAAGGCCUACCAAGGCGACGAUCCGUAACUGGUCUGAGAGGAUGAUCAGUCACACUGGAACUGAGACACGGUCCAGACUCCUACGGGAGGCAGCAGUGGGGAAUAUUGGACAAUGGGCGAAAGCCUGAUCCAGCCAUGCCGCGUGUGUGAAGAAGGUCUUCGGAUUGUAAAGCACUUUAAGUUGGGAGGAAGGGCAGUAAGUUAAUACCUUGCUGUUUUGACGGUACCAACAGAAUAAGCACCGGCUAACUUCGUG
rnacentral:rRNA from 1 species